rnacentral:rRNA from 1 species
UACAGAGGGGGCAAGCGUUGUUCGGAAUUACUGGGCGUAAAGGGCGCGCAGGCGGCCUCUUAAGUCGAACGUGAAAUCCCCGGGCUCAACCCGGGAACUGCGUCCGAUACUGGGGGGCUUGAAUCCGGGAGAGGGAUGUGGAAUUCCAGGUGUAGCGGUGAAAUGCGUAGAUAUCAGGAAGAACACCCGUGGCGAAGGCGGCUCUCUGGGACGGUACUGACGCUGAGACGCGAAAGCGUGGGGAGCGAACAGG